rnacentral:rRNA from 1 species
UGCCAGCAGCCGCGGUAAUACGUAGGUGGCAAGCGUUAUCCGGAAUUAUUGGGCGUAAAGCGCGCGUAGGCGGCCCGGUAAGUCCGCUGUAAAAGUCAAAGGCUCAACCUUUGAAUGUCAGUGGAUACUGCCGGGCUAGAGUCCGGAAGAGGCGAGUGGAACUCCUGGUGUAGCGGUGGAAUGCGCAGAUAUCAGGAAGAACACCGACGGCGAAGGCAGCUCGCUGGGACGGUACUGACGCUGAGGCGCGAAAGCGUGGGGAGCGAACAGGAUUAGAUA